GCCUGGAUAGCUCAGCCGGUAGAGCAUCAUCAAGGGCCCAGGGUUCAAGUCCCUAUUUGGGUG
rnacentral:tRNA from 1 species